CACCUCCUCAGCCUGGGCAGGAAGGUCCCUCGAGAGGGAGGCCUGGAUCCAUGCAUUUCCUGAACUGAGGGCUUCCAAAGAAGCCACAGAGAGGACAUUCUGCAGGAGAAGAACAGCAAAACAGAUUUCUCCCGCUGUAAAAUGUGCAAGUCCACUGACUUGGCACUGCUCCGUGACUCAGCGAGAGCAAUCAGAGCUGGUCCUGCAGGGAAAGGCUCAC
rnacentral:lncRNA from 1 species